rnacentral:lncRNA from 15 species
AUCUACCGACUGCCUAUUGGUUCUGUUAAGACUGGGGACGUCGUCUUAGUUUGCCAGAAACAGAAAAAUGGCAGCUUCUUUUCACGUGCUUCACUUGGACAUCAUAACACGUGGGAGGGUUGUGCUGCGCAGGCGCCCCGACCAACCAGAAGGAGUCGCUUGUACUGCGACCAGGACAUUACCCCGCACUCGCUUCCUGUGCGAUUGUGUUCACUGAGUUGCAUGAAUUCGCUGGAGAUAUAUCUGCAGGUAAAUGAAACCCCUGUGUGUGCAGAUUUGGGCUGGUACAUUCUUGUGUUUAUGAAUGCAUGUUGUGCUGCAUUUCGCAUAUAUUUCUGUGUCUUGACGCUUGUAGAUGUGUAUGAGUACGUGAACUUAAUGACACUGUGGUUCAUUUGUGCGUGUGUGUGAGAGAGAAACAGACUGCUGAGCAACAGCUACAACAGUCUCAGCUUCAUUUCAUAUUUCACCAAGAACAGGAAGUGAAUUUGUGUGUGAACAUUUGUCCAUUUUUAUCUGUGAACGUGCUCGCCUCGAGCACAUUCUAGUCUAUACGUUCCAAGUGUGUGUGUAAGAGAGAAAUAUGGGCCUCCCCUUUAAACCCCUCCAGCUGAAAAGCUCUCAGCAUUUUUUUUUCUCUCCACACACCAUUCCACGUGCCGUGUGGACGCCACGUCAGCUGUGUCAGCCUGACUCUGCACAGAGUGUGUGUAUGUGUGUUUAAAGAGCUCUGUAUAAGGCUUUCUCCAGCAGCAGGGAGCAGUCAGAGCCCAUAUUUCAUCCUCAGACUCUGGAUUUGGAUGCAGAUGUGAGUUUAAUAUUUCCGUAAAGCUGCACUGAAACUCUUCACCGGCUCAAAGAGUCACUUCAGCUGUGGUUCAGUGUGUGUUUGAGUUUACAGGCUCUAUGGUUUCCUGCAGUAAAUACCUUGGAAUCAAAUAAAAACUGUAUUCAUCAACUUGGAUGAUGCUCUCACUGAAAGCCAAACUCAAACACAUUGUUUUUGUUACCUCCUCAGUUGCCUGUAUUAUAGUGGAGAUGUCUUACCUG